AUUGAACGCUGGCGGCAGGCCUAACACAUGCAAGUCGAGCGGAUGAAGGGAGCUUGCUCCUGGAUUCAGCGGCGGACGGGUGAGUAAUGCCUAGGAAUCUGCCUGGUUGUGGGGGAUAACGUCCGGAAACGGGCGCUAAUACCGCAUACGUCCUGAGGGAGAAAGUGGGGGAUCUUCGGACCUCACGCUAUCAGAUGAGCCUAGGUCGGAUUAGCUAGUUGGUGGGGUAAAGGCCUACCAAGGCGACGAUCCGUAACUGGUCUGAGAGGAUGAUCAGUCACACUGGAACUGGGACACGGUCCAGACUCCUACGGGAGGCAGCAGUGGGGAAUAUUGGACAAUAGGCGAAAGCCUGGUCCAGCCAUGCCGCGUGUGUGAAGAAGAUCUUCGGAUUGUAAAGCACUUUAAGUUGGGAGGAAGGGCAGUAAGUUAAUACCUUGCUGUUUUGACGUUACCAACAGAAUAAGCACCGGCUAACUUCGUG
rnacentral:rRNA from 1 species